UACGAAGGGGGCUAGCGUUGCUCGGAAUCACUGGGCGUAAAGCGCACGUAGGCGGCUUCUUAAGUCAGGGGUGAAAUCCUGGAGCUCAACUCCAGAACUGCCUUUGAUACUGGGAGGCUCGAGUCCGGAAGAGGUGAGUGGAACUGCGAGUGUAGAGGUGAAAUUCGUAGAUAUUCGGAAGAACACCAGUGGCGAAGGCGACUCACUGGCCCGAUACUGACGCUGAGGCACGAAAGCUAGGGGAGCAAACAGG
rnacentral:rRNA from 1 species